UUGUUUCUUCAAUUUGAAACUUUUGAGGUUAUUAGUUCAUCUUGGGUCUAACUAUACCUGUUACACCUCCUACGCGAUUAUAAGCUGUAUUAUAUAAAGAUUGUUACCAAAUAAUAAUAAAAUAUGCCACCAAAUAAGUCAGUAUUGUCUUUGAGUGAUUUAUCCCUUCAAUGGAUUGUGAUAUUUGUCCAUGAAACACUUCAGAGGUUAAGCAAAUCUAAUAAUGCCGAGAAUCAGAAAUACGCAGUGGAUGAUCUAUUUCAAACAAUUCCAUGUUCCUUCUAUUCAAAUUUUGUGGAUGUAUUAUUCACUAAAAUCAUUCGAGAAAAAUCUGUGCUACCAUGCAAAUAUUACAAUUAUAUCUCUGGGAUAUUUAACAGACACCUUAGGGAACUCUCUCUCUCGGAUUGUAAUCUUUUCCAAGACUCAUCAUCCGUACUUGAAGAAUUUUUGACAUCUAGCAAUCAACCCGUUUCCAAUUGUAAAUCCCUUAAAAUAUACAAAAAUGUGAUGGCAUUGCUGGAUUUUGAUCCUCUAAAGCUUACUCACACUCUUUCUUCUUAUUUCCCCAAUAUAUCCGUGAUGAUUGUUCAAGGAUUACCAAGUGAAUUAGACCGAUGGGAAGUUCUUAACUUUAUCAAAAAGUUGGUGGCUAAUUCUCCUUUCAUUCAAGUACAUAAAUAAUUGUAUACUGAGAAUUUGUACAAAGCCACUUCAUCGAAAAAUAUUAAAUAUGAUUAUCCACAUUUGAUUAUUAUUCAUGGAUUAUUACUUUCAAUUAGAUUUAACCAUUUACUCAAACACGGCUAUUAAGCUUCAUGAUUAUGCAAUUAUGAUCAAAUAUAGAUGAUAAAACGUGUGAAAUAAUUGGAUCCUCGUUGAAUGCACUUCAUACCCUGCAAUUGAAUAAUUGCCUUUUGACUUCGGCUGGAGUAUCUAAUUUGCUAAAAAAUAAAAAUCUUGUGCGAUUAGACUGCUUAAGAGGAAUUGAGAACUUGGUGCGAAUGGUCAUUACUUCUUCGGAUUUUAAAAACCAAGUAGUGGGUUUACGUCAUUUCAUCUUAAGGAAUAAAAAAGAUAUACAAUUUAUAGAUACAGUUGCAAAAAUAUGUCCUGAUAUACAAGAAAUUAAAUUACAUUUGAACAUUGAUGAAAUGGGAUUUGCAACAAAGAGUCAUACAAUAGACGAAAUUUUAAUGUCUAUUCAUGUUCUAUUUAAACAUGUGAAAUUGGAUUUAAAUGCAACCUUCUUUAAUGCAUUUCAAUUUAUACAAUUAAAAAGAUUAUCGAUUUAUGGUCCCUUAAUCUCUAGAAUACGUUUGAUUCAAGUAGAAUAUCUACAUGCAAUCUCUUUAGAGCCACUUGGAAAACACUGCAAUAAUCUCAAAUCUAUUUCUAUAUAUGACCCAACGGUAAUCGGCGAUGAAAUGUUUUUUGAAGGAGUACCAAGCAUAGACUACGACUCUGGAAUACUUUAUUUUCCGUCAUUGAAUGAAUUGACUUAUGAGGGAUCGACGUUUGACGAGAAAAUAGGGCAACUGUUUUUCAUUCAUUCACAAAUUGAGUAUUGCUGCCUAAAAAUUACUCAAAAUUUAUCAAAGAAUUGCCUUCAAACCCUAAUUCCGAAGAAUGCACUGAAAAAAAUGAUAUUGAAUAUAAAGUGUGGAUUAAAUGACAAAGAAAGACUUGAUUCAUUUACUAAUGAACUAAAUAAACUUAUACUGACAUCCAAAAAAAUGACAAAAAUGCAAUUAUAUAUCAAGGACAAAUCCGUUCUUGAAUAUAUAAACAAUAUGGUUCGAAGUAACAUAAUCAAACACAAUUGGGAUUUAGAUUUUUACUCCUGUUAAUGUUAUAUGUAUAAUUUUCUUUCAAUUAAUGAAGAGCCCUCAACAUAAUUACAUCAAACAUGAAGACAGUUUUUCUUUUAUAAUCAUUAAUAUAUCGAAAUAAAAUUAACUAGAUAUUAUAUUACAAUAUAUAUUGUUCUAAAUAAGAAUUUAAUAUUUUAUAAUAUUAUACGCUGAAGCAAUAUUCAUCAUUUCUUAAUUUAAAAAAAUCAAUUUAUAAUAAUAUAUCAUAUCACAAUUAUGAAGAUUAUUUUUAAUAGCAUUAUAUUUAAAUCGACUCAGUCAAUAUAAAGACACUAUAUAUUAAUGUUUAUCUUCUAUUUCACCCACACGUAGAUUUAUUUUCCAAUCUUUAUCACCUUGUCAUAUAAGCAGACAUGAAUAAUGUCCUUUAAAGCGGGAGCUUGCUACAACUAGCAAUAGAAGCUGUCAUCAUUAUUAUUUCAUUCUUGAGGAGGAAAAAUAAUAUCAGAAUUCAUAAUCAUAUAUAUAUAAGUAACAUGUAACUACUAACUGCAACUAUGUAUUUAUUAUUUUAAUAAGUUUUAGAAACGUGUAGAGUUGUAUCGUGAUGAAGUAAUGAUGAAGCUGAUAAUAAUGGUAAAAAUGUAUGGAGUUACGAAGAGGAUUCGAGGUUUUACGUCUUUGUAAUUAUUGAACUAUAGUCCUGAAGACGUUCGAACUAUAAAAACACAUUAAAAAUCGAAUUUAGGAGAGGAAUUUAGUAUUGUAUACAAGUCACAUAAUUAAUAUAAAUUCUGAUCAUUCCAAUUUUAUUAGUGAUAUAACCAAGAUCCUUAUCUUCAGCAAUAUUCCACUCCAUAUCGUGAAUCAUCCUAAUUAUGUUAAGUUAAUGGAAAUUUACUCCGGAAAAGUAAUUCCUCUCGCUGCCCCAUCAAAAAGUUAAUGGAGUCAAGAAUGAAGUAAAGAAGUGUUAUCCAAUAUAAAGAAAGAUUCAAAGAACUUCAAGGGAAGAGUGUAUUUAUUGUAUUGGACGAAACUACAGACAUUCGACAGCGAUCCAUGACUAGAGUGUUGGUUGGUCCUUUAGAUGUUUAUUUUUUGAUCGUCCUUCCCUCAUAAUUUGGAAGAUUUUUCAAAGUAGACAAUAAAACAAUUACAAGUGUUCCUGUAAAAAUUAUCAGCAACGUUCUUGGUUCCAAUUUCAGAAGCGAAAGACUGAAGGUUUUCAUCACUGAUGAAGCAUCAUAUUGAAUUAAAGGAACCAAAAACCUUAAACAACAUUUUCCAAUUUCACGUGUCUAGCUCAUGAUCGUAACAAAAUAGUGAGAGUAAUAAUAUUAGUAGCAUUAAUAUCAAUAUAUCAAAUUGAGAGAAUUGGCUCCUGAAACCGUCAAUCACGAUAUCGAUUUUUAAAUACAAAAACACUCCUAUCCUUAACUGUGAUUUUAAGAGAGUUUUCCGAGUAAUGUUGUACAUAAAUAUAUCAAAAAGGUUCCGUUUUGACGGAAAAUCACGUCAAGAAUAUUGUGAUAAUGAAGUGGAACAUUGAAUUAUUAAACGUGGGAGAUUUACUACGAUGAUAGUUAAAUGAUCUAAUAAAACAUACAAGUAUUAUUAUUAUUAUUUAUUUAAUUUAUUACAUUUUUAGGUACUUAAAUUUGCUAUUGGAACCGUUGUCUAUGAUGAUGGAUGAAAGUCUGGUCAUUAUAGAUGUCGACAGGUGUAAUAGUUACUUAAUAUUUAAAAUUAAAGUAAUGAUUUCAAUUUAUUUAUUAAUACCACUACAUUUAGAACAUAUGGGGAAAAAUCAGCUAUUUUGUUAGUACAUCUAUAUGUUUUAUUUAAUUAUCAUAUUCUUGACGUCAACUUCCCUCAGACGGGACUUUUUUUGGUACAUGAAUGUCCGACAUGUCACUGUAAACCCUUAAGGAAUCAAAGUUAACAAUAGGAGUGUUUUUGUAUUUAAAAAACUCGCUAUCGUUAUUAAUGGUUUCAGGUGGUCAUUCUCUAAAUUUGAUAUCUCCCUUGUAUUUCUCUAUUCCCUCCUGCCAUUUAUUUUUGAAAGGUUCAAGAUGAAUAUCUUUGCAUAGAUUUUCAAUUAUAAGUACACUUUGGAGUAGCGGUAAUCUCUCUUUCAAUGCUUUAAUGAUUACCUGGAUUGAAUUCAAAUUUUGUUGAAUAAACAUUAUUUCUGACUAAAGUGGAUCAUUCUUCAAAAUAUAUUUUUCUCGUUUUCUUUGUUUUCAUCUAUAACAUUAAUAUACUCUUUGACUGAAUUGAUGUGCUUGAUGUAAUCAGAAUUAAUCAGGAGAGAGCGUUGAUAUUCUGUUCGGACUAUAAGCGUAACAACUGAUAAGCAAAAUAAUUGGAAAAUGUUGUUAAUGGUUUUCGACUGCUUUAAUGAAAUACCCUGCUCCAUUGGUAAUGAAAACCUUCAUUAUUUUGUCUCUGAAAUUGGAGGCAAGAAUGUUGUUAUACUUUUGCAGUAACACAUGUAAUCAUUGUACACCUUCCAAAUUAAUGAGAUAAUGACGACACAAAAAUGACCAUAUUAAGGACCAACCACGACUGCAGUGAUGGUUCGCCGUCGAGUCUGUAGUUUCUUCUAAUUCAAUAAAUAUAUCCAUUUCCUCAAAUUUUUUAAUGGAUCUUGGAUAACACUUGUUUACUUUGAGACUCCAUUUACUUGGUAAUGGAAAAGCGAGAGUAAAUUACUUUUCCAGUUUAAAUUUUUAUGAACAAAAUUUUGGACAAUUCUAAAAAGGAGUAGAAUAUUACAGGACACAAGCAUCUUGGUUAUAUAAUUAGUAAAAUUGGAAUUAUUUAUGCGACUAGUAUACAGUUCAAAAUUCCUCUUAUGAAUUCGGUUUUUAUUGUGCCUUUCUACUUUAAACUUAUUCAAAACUUUGAUCCCAUGUUCACAAAAAUGCCAUGUCAAAAACCGAUAAGAAUCUUCUGAAUAUAUUUUUAUAUAAAUUAAAUUAUCAGCGAUUAAAGAAUACAUAGCAAUUUACAUACUCUUUAAAAGAUUAAAAAAAAAUAUAUAUAUGAAUUUUGAAAUAAAAUAAUAGUAAUUCUU
rnacentral:misc_RNA from 1 species